rnacentral:rRNA from 1 species
AGUGGAUGGGGAGCAACCUAGUUGUGCGUGUGUAAAGGUAGUGCCAAGAAAGGCGAUGAUCAUGUUGAAAAUCAAUUCCCGGUACCCGAAACCGACACAGGUGGGCAAGUAGAGAAUACUAAGGGGCGCGAGGUAACUCUCUCCAAGGAACUCGGCAAAAUGACCCCGUAACUUAGGGAGAAGGGGUGCCACCGAGAGGUGGUCGCAGUGAAGAGGCCCAGGCGACUGUUUAGCAAAAACAUAGGUCUCUGCAAACUCGAAAGAGGAGGUAUAGGGGCUGACGCCUGCCCAGUGCCGGAAGGUUAAAGAGGUUGGCCAGUCUUAGGAUGAAGCUAGCGACUGAAGCCCCGGUGAACGGCGGCCGUAACUAUAACGGUCCUAAGGUAGCGAAAUUCCUUGUCGGGUAAGUUCCGACCCGCACGAAAGGCGUAACGAUCUGGGCGCUGUCUCGGAGAGAGGCUCGGCGAAAUAGGAUUGUCUGUGAAGAUACGGACUACCUGCAUUUGGACAGAAAGACCCUAUGAAGCUUUACUAUAGCUUGGAAUUGUGUUCGGGCUUCCUGUGCGCAGGAUAGGUGGGAGGCGUAGAAGGUAUUCUUGUGGGGAUACUGGAGCCAACGGUGAGAUACCACUCUCAGGAGGCUAGAAUUCUAUCUUAAUUAAGGACAGUUUCAGGUGGGUAGUUUGACUGGGGCGGUCGCCUCCAAAAAGGUAACGGAGGCGUACAAAGGUUCCCUCAGACUGGUUGGAAAUCAGUCGAAGAGUGCAAAGGCAGAAGGGAGCUUGACUGCGAGAAGUACAGUUCGAGCAGGGUGGAAACACGGUCUUAGUGAUCCGACGGUGCUGUGUGGAAGGGCCGUCGCUCAACGGAUAAAAGUUACUCUAGGAUAACAGGCUGAUCUCCCCCAAGAGUUCACAUCGACGGGGAGGUUUGGCACCUCGAUGUCGGCUCAUCGCAACCUGGGGCGGAAGUACGUCCCAAGGGUUGGGCUGUUCGCCCAUUAAAGCGGUACGUGAGCUGGGUUCAGAACGUCGUGAGACAGUUCGGUCCAUAUCCGAUGUAGGCGUGAGAAUAUUGAGAGGAGCCUUCCUUAGUACGAGAGGACCGGGAAGGACGCACCGCUGGUGUACCUGUUAUGAUGCCAAUUGUAAACGCAGGGUAGCCAAGUGCGGAGAGGAUAACCGCUGAAAGCAUCUAAGUGGGAAGCCCACCUCAAGAUGAGUAUUCUGGUGUAAGGUCACGGGAAGACGACCCGUAAAUAGGCACGAGGUGGAAGUGCAGAGAUGUAUGAAGCCGAAGUGUACUAAUAGACCGUCGGCUUGACC